CAGUAGCCGCGGUAAUACGUAGGUGGCAAGCGUUGUCCGGAUUUAUUGGGCGUAAAGGGUGCGUAGGCGGUUUGGUAAGUCUUGUGUGAAAUCUUCGGGCUCAACCCGAAGCCUGCACGAGAAACUGCCGGGCUUGAGUAUGGGAGAGGUGAGUGGAAUUUCCGGUGUAGCGGUGAAAUGCGUAGAUAUCGGAAGGAACACCUGUGGCGAAAGCGGCUCACUGGACCAUUACUGACGCUGAUGCACGAAAGCUAGGGGAGCAAACAGGAUUAGAUACCCCUGUAGUCCCUGUCUCUUAUAC
rnacentral:rRNA from 1 species